CUAGCCCUGAAAAUGGAUGGCGCUCAAGCGUCCUCCCGAUACUCGACCGUCGGGGCAGUUAUGGCCAUUUUUGGUCUCGAAGCCCCGACGAGUAGGAGGGUCGUGGCGGUGAGCGUUGAAGGGACCGGCGUGAGCCGGCCUGGAGCCGCCGCUAGUGCAGAUCUUGGUGGUAGUAGCAAAUACUCGAGUGAGAUCCUUGAGGACUGAAGUGGAGAAGGGUUCCAUGUGAACAUCAGUUGAACAUGGGUUAGUCGGUCCUAAGCCUCAGCCGAAAGGCGGUCUCAGCGCUGGCAAGGUGUCAACUUAAUCCAAAGCCUUUGAAAACGGGGUGUAUCUAGUAGUCUUUCUCUUGUGUUGGGUGAGUGGUUGUUUCUACGCCGUCCAAAGCGUUGAACUCGAUCUCACUCGGCCUUGGAGGGCGAAAGUUACUACCCUUCGAGGGUGGACGCUUCUCCCACACAACCACCUGGGAGGAAUAUCCUGUACGCUUCCGUCCCCCAAAAGACGGAGGUGUCAGGCGUUUGCCCUACAGCCGUUGUAGAUUUUUAGGCGAAAGGGAAUCUGGUACUUAUUCCAGAACCUCGUCCCGGAUAAGACGUCCCCGAGUCUUCGGGCGAGGGUAUAACGGUCCUGGUAACGGGAGUGACCCUGCAUACACUGGCGGCGGUCCGAGGAAGAGUUUUCUUUUAUGUUUAAGACUCUGUGACCCUGGAAGCUACUCGCAAGGCGAUAGGUCGUGUAGCGUAGAGCGCCGCGGUUCUUGCGGCGUCCCGUGCGCCGUCGUCGGUCCUUGAAAAUGCAGCGAGGCGGAACACUCCUGGUCUACUCGUAACCAUGCCUUUGGAUACUUAAGACGCCGUCCACCGCGUUGAAAAGUUGUCCUGGUUUUGGAAGCCUUUAGCACCGAUGGAUUGCAUAGUACGCUCUACGACGUCACUGACACUGGUACCUAGUCGUGUCGAUGCUCAGGAACUGAGUGGGUGCUUUCUCUAUUUGAACGGUGUCAAAGCCGUUCUUAUUGGGUUUGCAAUUACCUUCGACGGACUUUCGGGCGAGUCCGAACCCAUAUCCGUAGCAGGUCUCCAAGGUGAAUAGCCUCUAGUCGAUAGAUUAAUGUAGGUAAGGGAAGUCGGCAAAUUA
rnacentral:rRNA from 1 species